rnacentral:tRNA from 1 species
UUUAUAGUAAGAGGAAAAUCCGUCGACUUUAGAAAUCGUGAGGGUUCAAG